rnacentral:miRNA from 1 species
CCAGGCUCUUUCCACUACGCUCCAACGAGGAGCGUAGUGGAAAGAGCCUGGGU